rnacentral:rRNA from 1 species
UACGUAGGGUGCGAGCGUUGUCCGGAAUUAUUGGGCGUAAAGAGCUCGUAGGCGGUCUGUCGCGUCUGCUGUGAAAUCCCGAGGCUCAACCUCGGGCCUGCAGUGGGUACGGGCAGACUAGAGUGCGGUAGGGGAGAUUGGAAUUCCUGGUGUAGCGGUGGAAUGCGCAGAUAUCAGGAGGAACACCGAUGGCGAAGGCAGGUCUCUGGGCCACUACCGACGCUGAGAAGCGAAAGCAUGGGGAGCGAACAGG